UCGGAAUUACUGGGCGUAAAGCGCGCGUAGGUGGUUGAGUAAGCGAGAUGUGAAAGCCCCGGGCUUAACCUGGGAACGGCAUUUCGAACUGCUCGGCUAGAGUGUGGUAGAGGGUAGUGGAAUUUCCUGUGUAGCGGUGAAAUGCGUAGAUAUAGGAAGGAACACCAGUGGCGAAGGCGGCUACCUGGACCAACACUGACACUGAGGUGCGAAAGCGUGGGGAGCAAACAGGAUUAGAUACCCUGGUAGUCCACGCCGUAAACGAUGUCAACUAGCCGUUGGGGAUCUUGAAUCCUUAGUGGCGCAGCUAACGCACUAAGUUGACCGCCUGGGGAGUACGGCCGCAAGGUUAAAACUCAAAUGAAUUGACGGGGGCCCGCACAAGCGGUGGAGCAUGUGGUUUAAUUCGACGCAACGCGAAGAACCUUACCUGGCCUUGACAUGCAGAGAACUUUCCAGAGAUGGAUUGGUGCCUUCGGGAACUCUGACACAGGUGCUGCAUGGCCGUCGUCAGCUCGUGUCGUGAGAUGUUGGGUUAAGUCCCGUAACGAGCGCAACCCCUAUCCUUGGUUGCUAGCAGGUAAUGCUGAGAACUCCAGGGAGACUGCCGGUGACAAACCGGAGGAAGGUGGGGAUGACGUCAGGUCAUCAUGGCCCUUACGGCCAGGGCUACACACGUGCUACAAUGGCGUAUACAGAGGGCUGCCAACUCGCGAGAGUGAGCCAAUCCCUUAAAGUGCGUCGUAGUCCGGAUCGCAGUCUGCAACUCGACUGCGUGAAGUCGGAAUCGCUAGUAAUCGCGAAUCAGAAUGUCGCGGUGAAUACGUUCCCGGGCCUUGUACACACCGCCCGUCACACCAUGGGAGUGGAUUGCACCAGAAGUGGUUAGUCUAACCUUCGGGAGGACGAUCACCACGGUGUGGUUCAUGACUGGGGUGAAGUCGUAACAAGGUAACCG
rnacentral:rRNA from 1 species